AGGCCCCGCGCCGCCGUCCGUG
rnacentral:misc_RNA from 1 species